rnacentral:misc_RNA from 1 species
GGGAAAAAAAAAGCACCCAGCAAAAACGCCACCACCAUAGCUAUCUAACUAAAUUCAAGAGAAUCAGAUUAACUAGCAGGAUUCCACUAUACGUUUGGAAGGCAAAUAUUGGCAAAGACCAAACUAAUUUUCACAAGUAAUAGCACAAGCAAUAAUUUAAACUUUGCAAACACAUAAAAGGAAUAGCAAUUGAAAGGCCCCGUGAAGCAACAAGCUUCAUUAUCCUUGUAAAAUCAGAGAUAGUGCCAAGCUCCACACAAUAUCACAAGUAUUAAGAUAUUUGGUAAACAGAGUUAAGAAAAGAUGGGCAUGCACAACAGGUGAAAAAGUUCUAGACAUUGUUUUACAGAGAUCCUAAUUCACUCACUACUAAUACUUUGCCCCUUUGAAAAUUAAGGUUCAACAAACCAACAUAUUAAGCAAUAGCACCGCCUGUUUGAUGCAGCAUUGCAUCUAUCUCAUCCCCAUCCUCCAUUUCCAGCUCAUCUGGAGUUUGCUCCCCACGAAGCCGGCGACCAUCGAACAGAAAUGCAAUAGAGUUGAGCUCCACUGACUGUCGAUCACAGUAAGCAUUCAUGAGCUUCUUCAGUUGAGUGCUCCUCUUAAUCCUGAAGAAAACUUCAUUACCAUCCUACAAAAUGAAGCCAAAUUAGCACAUAUAAUUUUAUGAAAUCCAGUAUGUCCAGCUCUAGAAUACCAUCAAACUUGAACUGAUCUAAACUAUAUCUCCAACCCUUCAUCAGUAACAAAAUCAUAUAUCUAAUUUCCCAAGGAAAGUUCUGCAAUCAGUUUAAAACUCUUAUAAAAAUCAAACCAGAAAACAAAAUGGUUAUCCAACUAAGGAAUGUGAGUUGAACACUUCCAGUCCAAAAACAUUUGUUGUGAAUAAGAAUCAUGAUGAACAAUUCCCAGGGUGGAGCUAAAAAUAAAGACAGCACCAUAAAGGCACAUAUAAACACAGCUAAUUUUUAUGUCAAACUUAAAUUUAGUGGGUCUUCACAGCCAAUAGCAUCACUUUAAAUAGAAUUUGAAUAUUAAUCACUCUAAUCUGCAAAACAUUUAAACCACCAUCGAACAAUCUACAUCAAAAUACCCACAAUAAAGAACAACGUGGUUUAAAUACAUUGAAAUAAAUAAAAAAAUAAAUACACGCAAAGAGAAAAACAUAUUGCCUUCUAUUCCCCUGCUUCCAAAAACAUAUUGCUUUGUGUUCCCCUGCUUCCACGAUCUUUAAUAAGUGUAAACUAGAAAGCUGUUACCAUUUAUUUGGGAAAAGAAAAAAGACUAAUUUGGAAAAUUUGAGUAGCAAGCCAAAAUAUUGGUAUUACAUAAGUUGAAAAUAACCUGUGCGUGCUAUGGAGAACACAAACUUUAUCUCUACCAAGAACUUCUACAAGAAAGCCACUAAUACCAAUGCAGAUAUGUUGAUCAGAUGACAAAGCUCAGUAACAUUGGUAAAUUUUUUUUUCUCUUAAAAAUAAACAAUGUUAGUAAAAUUUUUGUACAAUAAGAAAUUUUCAAUUUCAUUACCUUCGCCACUGCAACCAGCAGCCACCAUGACCACUGACAGCUAUCAGUACAAUAGUCACUGCUGUUGCCACAACUAUAAAUUUAUCAUUAUUUGGAAAAUGGGUGGAUUAUGCUGAUUUCGGUUAAAUGGAUAUGGGUGCCCGAAUAAUCUUUGAAUGAGUUCCGUAAAAUGGAUAAGCUGUGUAAUUUACAACCUAACCUAUAACCACCCAAAUCCGCCUGUUUGCCACCACUAUUUGACACUCUAGGCCAUGGAAAACAUAAAAUAAGAUAAUUAUAAGAAUGACCAUGCAAAAGUCACCCGAAUGCAAAGUUGCUGAAAGAUCAUCAACAUAAUUGCCUAUAGGACCAAACUUUAUUUUCAAAUCAUUUUGCCCUGCAAAUAAUUCCCAUGAAAUAGUAUGCGUGCCUAUUUUACUUACAGAGACCUACUUCUAACAAAAGUCCUGAUGCUACCAGAUGCAAAUGAUAGGCAGCUAGCAAAUGCAUUCAUUUUGUGGAGGAAAAUUCUACAAGGUGCGAAUCAUUGAUAGAACAGGACUAUGUAGAUCAAAUUAGUAAAAGCAAGCAUCAAACUCGUUCCAUCACUUCAGCUGACAAGGUAAGUCUUGCUAAUUAUCUACAUGUGCCCAGUCCAUCAAGAUUAAACCUUCAGCAAGGAUACAAAUUAAUAAUAUUAGACAAGCACAUCCAAAAUGACAUCAAAAUUACGAGAAGGAAGGGGGGGGACCCCGAACCUUAGCAUGAAGAAAAGAAGCAAGAGCAUUGAAAGAACGAAGUCUGGGGAUAGGAAACAUUCUAAAUUACGAUACCAACUAAUUUUCUCUUGAAAUUCAGGUAAAAGUAUGGUGCACAAAAUACUACAGAGAAUUAGCAGUAAAACAGUGACUAAUUGCAUAAUUGAAAAGUACACCUAGCUGCAAACUAUAAACAGUUAAGAACCAUAAAGUGUGACGCUAUUUACGAUUCUAAGCAGAAGCCAUCACGGUUCAUGCUCCAAAAGCCGAGUUCUAAACAUCAUCAAAGUAGCUAUAAUCGAUGCUUAGCUCAGCCACAUCAAAGUCCGUAGGGACGCCUUAAAGCAAAAAAGACCUUUAAGAAUAUCUAAUCAUUCUAAGACACACAGAUGGACAAUUAAGGACAUUAUUAUCGAAACAAACAGGAAUUGAUAAACGAAAUCAAAACCCUAAUAAAAUUUGAAAUUGGGUACUCAAUUAAAAACCCUAAACACAAAGAAAUUGGGUAAUAAAACAGAAACCCAGAAAAAAAUUCUUACCCAAACUUAAGAAGAGGUGAAUAUGAGAAACCCAAGUCGUGCAUGCAAUGUUUAAGCAGAGAGGAAAAGGGAAGGAGAUCGGACCUGGCCUUUGACCUUAAGAUUGAUGUGAGCAGCUUGUUCAGUGGGCUUCUUGUCCUCCUCUUGAUUAGUGACUCCAGACAUUUUCUAAUAUCUUCGCAGCUCGUCGAUUUACAGCGGAUGAGAAUGAGGAUGCAAC